GACCGACACCCCGUCUUUGCCCUCCCCGCUGGGCCGCAGCAGCAAGUUCCCACAGUCAGGGUAGCGCUCCAGGAGCAGCUGCGCCUCCAGACGGCUGACCCUCAGGAAGCACCUGUGGGGGGUGGGGUCAUCAGACAGCCCUGGAUCCCCAUUGGUCCUCACACUGGGAUGUCACAGUCCUGGGUAGCAGCCAGCACUCACCAGGGCACCUCCAGUGCUCGACGUGCCUCUUCUUUGGCUUGGACCUCGGCCAUCAUGUACAGGUGUCCAGAUGGGUAAACUGAGGCCAACCUGGGGAACUAGGACGGAACCCCUGGAGCUCCAGAAUCAAAGAAAUAAAUUCCAGAAGUUUGAAAACUGGGUGUGACAGCUACCUGUCAUCCCAGAACUCAGGAGACUGAGGCAGGAGGAUCAGGAAUUCGAGGCCAUCCUUGGCUACACAGAGAGUUGGAGGAGAGCCUGGGCUACCUGAGACCCUGUCCCAAAAAUAAUUACAUAAAUAAACAAGAAAUGAAAAGUUGUAGCCUUCUCGUGGCAAAACAGAAGGUGUCUAUGGGUUGUCCACAGCCCAGGAUUUUCAGGAUGAAAACUGUCUUGUGUUCUAGAAGUUUCUUUGGGAAUGAAGGACUGGGGGAGGGGGGAAGGGAUAGUGAGUCACAGAUGUUACAGUGGCUAAUCUCAGUAUAGAGCCUGACAGGUUCUAAAAUCAUGAUGGUAACAAACCUCUGGGCCUGUGUGUGAGGAAGUGCCCAGGCUGUGUUAACUGAAAUGGAAAAAUCCACCCGGAAUUGUGGGUGUGGCACCAUCCCUGGGCUGGGGAGUCAGAAAUAAGAGGAGACCUUGAGCUGAGUACCAGCACACAUCUCUCUCCACUUUCUGAUGGCUGAUGUGACCUGGACAGCAUAGCUGCUGUGGCCUCACAUUCCUGCUGCCCUUGAACUAUGAUCCGGGAUAAAAAUCUUCCUUUCCUUUAGGCCGUUUGUGUCAGGUAUUUUGUCACAGUAAGAAGUCACUAACAGGGCUGGAGAGAUGGCUCAGUGG